CAGAAGAUAACAAGCAUUGGCAGGAAUAUGGAAAAAUUAAAGCCCUGAUACCCUGAGAGUACAAAGUCUGUUCCCACUUUCUCCAAGUGUCCCACCUAAGUGCUGAAGCUCAGUAAAUAAGCCCAACUGGAAGUGGAUACAUGAUUAGUUAAUUGUUCAGUGGCAAAGUUCUUACAGUUGAUUUUCUCUGAAAUCACUCUAGAAAAAGAUAAGUAAAAGCCUUGGUUGGUGGGAAAGAUGGUCUUUUUGAAGAUAAAAAACAUAUUCAGAGGAAUGUUUUGGGGUUAGUUCUUUUUUUUUUUUUUUUUU
rnacentral:lncRNA from 1 species